CUUUCUUUACCCUCUUCAAACCCUAGGUCCCCAAACGCUAUUUAGAGCCCAUUUGAGCUAGAUCCAAGCUUGGGAGACAAUCCAGAGAUUUGGUAAAACUCUCUCCCCUUGAGUUUAUUGGAGAUUUGAAACCUAGAUUUGGGCAACCUAGCUUAUAAGGGAGAAUGGAGGCUAUUAAUGCAUUUGUGAGUUGGAAGAUGACUGAAGGCUAAAGGUUGAGCUUGAUGUGGUGUGCCUCUGAUUGUCAAGGGACUGUGGUAAGCAAAGGCAAUGGUUGAUACCCCGCCUGAGAUUCCCACCUAUAGUGUACGAUGCCAUUCGUUGGGAGAUUACUGCAGAUGAUAAUUAUGAUGCCACUUGUGUGAGAUUUCUUCGACUGAUGCUGACGUUUGGAGUUUACUCCUAUCAACGAUCUAUUCUCCGCUCAUUUCUUUGGCACGUGUGUGAUCUAUGCUCCACCCAACAAUUUUGACUUGCGUGUGCUUUGUUUCUCCACCUAUUGGCCACCGUGCGUGAUUUGAUGAUG